rnacentral:miRNA from 2 species
ACCAGGAGUCAGACAUAUGCUC